rnacentral:rRNA from 1 species
UAGCUUGCUAGAGGAUGACGAGUGGCGGACGGGUGUAGUAAUGCUUGGGAACUUGCCUUUGCGAGGGGGAUAACAGUUGGAAACGACUGCUAAUACCGCAUAAUGUCUUCGGACCAAACGGGGCUUCGGCUCCGGCGCAAAGAGAGGCCCAAGUGAGAUUAGCUAGUUGGUAAGGUAAAGGCUUACCAAGGCGACGAUCUCUAGCUGUUCUGAGAGGAAGAUCAGCCACACUGGGACUGAGACACGGCCCAGACUCCUACGGGAGGCAGCAGUGGGGAAUAUUGCACAAUGGGGGAAACCCUGAUGCAGCCAUGCCGCGUGUGUGAAGAAGGCCUUCGGGUUGUAAAGCACUUUCAGUUGUGAGGAAAAGUUAGUAGUUAAUACCUGCUAGCCGUGACGUUAACAACAGAAGAAGCACCGGCUAACUCCGUGCCAGCAGCCGCGGUAAUACGGAGGGUGCGAGCGUUAAUCGGAAUUACUGGGCGUAAAGCGCACGCAGGCGGUUUGUUAAGCUAGAUGUGAAAGCCCCGGGCUCAACCUGGGAUGGUCAUUUAGAACUGGCAGACUAGAGUCUUGGAGAGGGGAGUGGAAUUCCGGUGUAGCGGUGAAAUGCGUAGAUAUCUGGAGGAACAUCAGUGGCGAAGGCGACUCCCUGGCCAAAGACUGACGCUCAUGUGCGAAAGUGUGGGUAGCGAACAGGAUUAGAUACCCCUGAUACUCCACACCGUAACGCUGUCUAC